UACGGGGGGGGCAAGCGUUGUUCGGAAUUACUGGGCGUAAAGGGCUCGUAGGUGGCCAACUAAGUCAGACGUGAAAUCCCCAGGCUUAACCUGGGAACUGCGUCUGAUACUGGAUGGCUUGAAUUCGGGAGAGGGAUGCAGAAUUCCAGGUGUAGCGGUGAAAUGCGUAGAUAUCUGGAGGAAUACCGGUGGCGAAGGCGGCACCCUGGACCGAGAUUGACACUGAGGAGCGAAAGCUAGGGGAGCAAACGGG
rnacentral:rRNA from 1 species